rnacentral:rRNA from 1 species
AGUGAACGCUGGCGGUAGGCCUAACACAUGCAAGUCGAACGGCAGCACAGUAAGAGCUUGCUCUUACGGGUGGCGAGUGGCGGACGGGUGAGGAAUACAUCGGAAUCUACUUUUUCGUGGGGGAUAACGUAGGGAAACUUACGCUAAUACCGCAUACGACCUACGGGUGAAAGCAGGGGAUCUCCGGACCUUGCGCGAUUGAAUGAGCCGAUGUCGGAUUAGCUAGUUGGCGGGGUAAAGGCCCACCAAGGCGACGAUCCGUAGCUUGUCUGAGAGGAUGAUCAGCCACACUGGAACUGAGACACGGUCCAGACUCCUACGGGAGGCAGCAGUGGGGAAUAUUGGACAAUGGGCGCAAGCCUGAUCCAGCCAUACCGCGUGGGUGAAGAAGGCCUUCGGGUUGUAAAGCCCUUUUGUUGGGAAAGAAAAGCAGCAGGUUAAUACCCCGCUGUUCUGACGGUACCCAAAGAAUAAGCACCGGCUAACUUCGUG